rnacentral:rRNA from 1 species
GAUGAACGCUGGCGGCGUGCCUAAUACAUGCAAGUCGAGCGAACGGACGAGAAGCUUGCUUUUCUGAUGUUAGCGGCGGACGGGUGAGUAACACGUGGAUAACCUACCUAUAAGACUGGGAUAACUUCGGGAAACCGGAGCUAAUACCGGAUAAUAUUUUGAACCGCAUGGUUCAAAAGUGAAAGACGGCCUUGCUGUCACUUAUAGAUGGAUCCGCGCUGCAUUAGCUAGUUGGUAAGGUAACGGCUUACCAAGGCAACGAUGCAUAGCCGACCUGAGAGGGUGAUCGGCCACACUGGAACUGAGACACGGUCCAGACUCUACGGGAGGCAGCAGUAGGGAAUCUUCCGCAAUGGGCGAAAGCCUGACGGAGCAACGCCGCGUGAGUGAUGAAGGUCUUCGGAUCGUAAAACUCUGUUAUUAGGGAAGAACAUAUGUGUAAGUAACUGUGCACAUCUUGACGGUACCUAAUCAGAAAGCCACGGCUAACUACGUG